CCUACGGGUGGCAGCAGUGGGGGAUAUUGCACAAUGGGGGAAACCCUGAUGCAGCGACGCCGCGUGAGUGAAGAAGUAUUUCGGUAUGUAAAGCUCUAUCAGCAGGGAAGAAAAUGACAGUACCUGACCAAGAAGCCCCGGCUAACUACGUGCCAGCAGCCGCGGUAAUACGUAGGGGGCAAGCGUUAUCCGGCUUCACUGGGUGUAAAGGGAGCGUAGACGGCCAGGCACGCCUGGAGUGAAAGCCCGGGGCCCAACCCCGGGACUGCUCUGGGAACUGUCCGGCUGGAGUGCGGGAGGGGCAGGCGGAAUGCCUGGUGUAGCGGUGAAAUGCGUAGAUAUCAGGAGGAACACCGGCGGCGAAGGCGGCCUGCUGGACCGCGACUGACGUUGAGGCUCGAAAGCGUGGGGAGCGAACAGGAUUAGAUACCCCAGUAGUC
rnacentral:rRNA from 1 species